CGGAAGUGGACAAAAAUGCAGGCGCUCGAAAGUUUCGAGGAACAGUUAGCUGAACAAAUUGCGUUACACCACAACCUUUAUGACCCUGGACACAAGUAUUACAAGAACCCGCACGUUAGCAUCAAGUCGUGGCAAGAAAUAGCAGCCGCCCUCCAGACAGAGCCGGACAAAUGCCGCGAGAAGUGGAAGCAACUUCGGGACAGGUAUGUUCGGGCCAAGAAAAAGUUCAACAGCAAAAGCAGCCAGCCAGCGAGACCAGCGAGAACCCCUCCGCUGCUGAAGUCCCUGUCGUGGCUGGACGGGUACGUGAAACACAGGAAUGCCGUGACGAGGUACACAAUAGAGUAUCCCGAUAAAUCCCAGAGUUCAGCUGCAGCAUCCCCUGGACCGUCACCACACAACAGCAGCCAGGGAGGCGAAAUACAAUUGAUGGAGUCGACUCUGCCGAGCCCCUCCAGGUCCGAGGGCAGCCCGACGCGGCGCUGCAUCACCCCGACCCCACAAAGCCGGCCUAAUAAAAGGAAGGAACACGAUGAGGACCACGCCACCACCUCCAUAAAAGACCUGCUAACGGACUGCUCCAAAAUGGCAGCAUUACGUGACAUGUGUGCUGUGCAAGGGGAUGAGCUGGACGAAUCGCACUACUUUGGAAUCGUGGUCGCAAAGGGGCUGCGGACAUUGCCGGACAAAAUGCGGGCAGAUGCCAUGGCACAGGUGAUGGCGCUGUUGAGCAACUUCCGUCAACAAGCUUUCGAGCUGCAAACAACAAAUGACAACAAGAAAACCUGAUGACACGUCUUUGUUGUUCUUUUUUUUCAUCCAUUCUUACGCGUUGUUCUUAAUAUCAUAAAAUCUUUGCUUCCAUCUUCUGCUUUUGUCUGUGAGGCUCGUAGAGAGAAGCUGAGAGUUUCUCUGACAGCAUGCUGUGAAGUGUGCGCUCGCUACACUGUUGCUGACAGUUUCAGGACAUUUUUAUAGUUGUCAAGUGUUUAGUUUAUACGUGUGCACAUACAUCCGCCAAGUCCCACAAUAGCCUUAUUACAAAAAUACAGGAAUUAGUAUAGCACAAAUGUAUAUAUUAUAUGUUUAUAUUAAAUAUGUAGUGUAUAUUUAUAAAAUCUUUGAACUUUUAUUUAUAAUUAUGUGCUUUGUUUGUCUGGUACACUA
ensembl:lncRNA